ensembl:lncRNA
GGCAUAUGGAAGUUCCCAGGCUAGGGGUCGAAUUGAAGCUGUAGCUGCCGACCUACACCACAGCCAUGGCAACACAGGAUCCUUAGCCCACUGAUAGAGGCCAGGGAUCGAAUCCUCAUCAUCAUGGAUGCUAGUCGGAUGAAAAACAAUCCCUACUAUGCCCAGGGAACCACAAACUUUAGUUUCCUUUUUGGGCCCCCUAAGCAUUCUCUCCUAGAGAGAGACAAUGCCUGUGGCUAUAAUGCCCCUUUCUUUGCUCUCCCACAUAAAGAAGUGCAACCUCAACCAUCACUGAAGAGGAAAGCCUGUCCCUUCUAGAAUCACUGAACAGCAGGGAUUCCACUCCCGUUUUUCUCAGCUCUCAUCACCUUGAUGCAGGUGGCCAACCACAACUCUAACUCCUACAGGACAGGGUCUCAGCUCUGUUUAUCCCAUCAUUCCUGGUACAAUACAUAUAUGAAGCCUAAUAUUUGUUCAUUUUAACUGAAUCAGGUCAGAACAUUCUCUGUCGAAGGGAGUAAGCCAAUUAAUGGAGUACUUCCAGAUCAUGGAUCUUUUAAAGAUGCCUCAUCAGUCUUUCCUCCACUCCACUUAGCUGCCUUACAAGUUUUGCACAGCUAAACCAAGUAUUUCUGAUUAUUGCUCAGUACUGAUGUCUAAUCAUUAGAGUUCAGUAACUAUUACAGAUAUUAUAAUUAUCUCAGAAGAGCUUUAGAUUUACUUCAAAUAACUAAAUUUUACUCACCUUAGUUUAAUCUUCAUGAGUUUCUCACUGAGCAUGAUCACCCCCACCAACUUAAACGAUUACAGUUUCAAAGCAGCAAACUUACCCUUAAUUUUGGCUUAGUAAGAAAAGGUUAUAAAACCAUUUUCAAGUAUUGGGGAAAAUGGUUAUCAACAGGCAGUUCAUAACAGUAUAGUGUAAAGAAGAACUGACCUCUCCACUGCAAGAAGUGAGAAUUUCAAAUCACCUGGCAGCUUCUUAAAUAAGCUUAAAAAGUAAAUAUGUUCUCAGAGAAAUUACUGGAUUUCUUUUUAAACUAAGUAUUUUUGGAAUUUUCAACAUUCCCAAACAGGAAUAUUCAAAUCAAAUACAAUUUCCCCCAAGCACCUACUGUAAUUGGAAGUGACAAAUGACUUGCAUAGUAAAUUGAGUUUAAAAGUUUAAACGUUAAAAAAAAAAAAA